CCUACGGGCGGCAGCAGUGGGGAAUAUUGCACAAUGGGGGAAACCCUGAUGCAGCGACGCCGCGUGAGUGAGGAAGUAUUUCGGUACGUAAAGCUCUAUCAGCAGGGAAGAAAAUGACGGUACCUGACUAAGAAGCCCCGGCUAACUACGUGCCAGCAGCCGCGGUAAUACGUAGGGGGCAAGCGUUAUCCGGAUUUACUGGGAGUAAAGGGAGCGUAGACGGCAGCGCAAGUCUGGAGUGAAAUCCCAUGGCUUAACCAUGGAACUGCUUUGGAAACUGUGCAGCUAGAGUGCAGGAGAGGUAAGCGGAAUGCGUGGUGUAGCGGUGAAAUGCGUAGAUAUUAGGAGGAACACCAGUGGCGAAGGCGGCUUACUGGACUGUAACUGACGUUGAGGCUCGAAAGCGUGGGGAGCAAACAGGAUUAGAUACCCCAGUAGUC
rnacentral:rRNA from 1 species